rnacentral:rRNA from 1 species
CACGUAGGGGGCGAGCGUUGUCCGGAUUUAUUGGGCGUAAAGAGCUCGUAGGCGGCUUGGUAAGUUGGGUGUGAAAACUCCAGGCUCAACCUGGAGACGCCACCCGAUACUGCCAUGGCUAGAGUCCGGCAGGGGAGCAUGGAAUUCCUGGUGUAGCGGUGGAAUGCGCAGAUAUCAGGAGGAACACCAGUGGCGAAGGCGGUGCUCUGGGCCGGAACUGACGCUGAGGAGCGAAAGCGUGGGUAGCAAACAGG